rnacentral:tRNA from 2 species
GUUCCUGUAGUUGAAGUACAACGGUGGUUUUUCAUAUCAUUAAUCAUGGUUAAAGUCCAUGUGGGAAUA